rnacentral:rRNA from 1 species
CCUACGGGAGGCAGCAGUGAGGAAUAUUGGUCAAUGGACGAGAGUCUGAACCAGCCAAGUAGCGUGAAGGAUGAAUGCCCUAUGGGUUGUAAACAUCUUUUAUAUGGGAAUAGAGUGUUACACGAGUGGGAUUUUGUAUGUACCUUAUGAAUAAGGAUCGGCUAACUCCGUGCCAGCAGCCGCGGUAAUACGGAGGAUCCGAGCGUUGUCCGUAUUUAUUGGGUUGAAAGGGAGCGUAGGGGGAUUGUUAAGUCAGUUGUGAAAGUUUGCGGCUCAACCGUAAAAUUGCAGUUGAUACUGGCAGGCUUGAGUACCGUAGAGGUGGGCGGAAUUCGUGGUGUAGCGGUGAAAUGCUUAGAUAUCACGAAGAAUUCCGAUUGCGAAGGCAGCUCCCUGGACUGAAACUGACACUGAGGCGCGAAAGUGUGGGUAUCAAACAGGAUUAGAUACCCGAGUAGUC